rnacentral:rRNA from 1 species
GUGCUGGAUACUUAUUGUCAAGCGACGGGGCAGCGCAUCAACUACUCGAAGUCAUCAAUUUACUUCAGUAAGGGGGUGCCGGACACAGUGAGACAUGAUAUAAAGGACAUUUUAAAUGUCCCGAAUGAAACGCUAAAUGAAAAGUACUUGGGUAUGCCAUCAGAUAUUGGUAGCUCGAAGAAUGGUGCUUUCAAGUACUUAAAAGAUCGGCUAUGGAGCAAGGUUCAAGGAGGGAUAGAGAGUACCCUGUCAUCAGCAGACAAGGAGGUGUUAGUGAAAUCGGUUGCUCAAGCUGUGCCAGUUUUCUCUAUGUCAUGUUUUAAGCUGCCAUGA